CAAGUACGAAUCGAAGGGGGGAGGCCAGAAGUCAAUUUGUUAGAUUUGUUUGCCAUUUUCCCUGCGGAUCGCUGGGAACACACCUGUUUGAUAUUGUAGCCGCCCAUUGCUGUGCAAAUUGCAUUUCAAAUGCAAGUCAAAGCACAGAGGGUAAACCUCUAAAUGUAGAACCCAAAAGAGUGUGCUGAAAAUUUCCCAGUUCUAAUUCUAGAACUGUUCUAAUUUAUUUUAGAAUUUAUUUAAAAUGUACUUUUCGAUUUAGGGAUAAUUUUCCAGUGAAAUUCAACUGUCGUCUGCAGUUUCCUUGCGCCUGUGCGUAAUGGUGGUGCUGUCCACAUCCUCCUGCGGCUGAUCCUUGUCGCCCCAACCCCACACGGGAUGUGUGCCAUCGCAUUGUUCGCCCUGAAGGUGCUAUGUGCCCACAGGCGAUGUGCGCCGCCGGAUAUCCCUAUGAUGGUCAGCACCAGCGCUGCCGGAAACAGCAGAAAUGAAACUCUGCCACAACCCAUGGAGGAUCGUAAAGAGCGUAUUAUUCAGCCACGCCAGCUCCAGCUUGUGAUUCGGAUCGGGUCCGCUCUUCUUCAGAGCUUGCAUCACGCUCGUUGUGGCAUUCUGGUGGACUACUAAACUGGGCCGCAGCUGCCCAUCACACAUCUACUUAUAACCAAUUGAUAUUCAACAUGGAAAUUUGCAAUGUUUUGCCGGACAUCGUAAGGGCAAGGCAUUCGGAGAACCCGGACCUAGGUCCGGGGUGGUAGUAGCCGACCAUCCCCAGUUCCCAUAAAUUGUAAAUGUGAAAUACUAAAUGCUAAACUAUGCGCAUAGAUGUUGCACGUGAUUGCAACGGUGACUCUCAGUGAGUUGCAGUUAGAUGCCAGUCGACAGUGGAGAGUGGAGAGUCGAGAGUCGAGAGUCGAGAGUCGAGAGUCGACAGUGGUGGCGCAUCAUUAAAGUGCUGCAGACAAAUGGCCGCGCGGCAUGUGCGGCACAUGUCAAGAGAAGGCAACAGCAGCACACAGCAAGCAGCGGCAACAGGUGAAAAUCUGGCUGGAAUUCUGAUUAUCUGCAGCUUCUGGUUGCUGGCUGGCUGGCUGGCUGUUGGUUGACUGCGGUGAUUGGCAGCAAACUGUUGCUGCUGUCGCUGCUGCUGCUGCUGCUGCUGCAACUUAAACUGUAACUUUCAACGAUUUGUCGUCAGUGUCUUCUCUCUGCCGUCU
rnacentral:lncRNA from 1 species